UAGCAGCAGGGAGGGGCUCAGCAGGGAGGGGAAGGGACAGUCCUCCCUAAGGCAUGAUGGCCUUAUCAAGCAGGUUCCCCUGCAGGAAACCGGGGGACAUGAACCACAGUCCCUCAACUCCUGGGCCACCCUUGCUGGGAAGUUAGACCACGACCCUUGGAUGCACAGGUCCAACCUCGAGGGACAACAAGGCCACAGAAUUCUUUGAAAUCAAUAAUUUUGAGCGUCAGGAUAAAAUCUCAGCAGCCCUGACAGCGAAACAUCUUCUCAGCCACCCGGGACUUUCGGGCAAGUUCUUCCAGCAGCAUCUGUUUCCCAGGAGGAGGUUGGAAGGGGAAAGGAGAAGAGGGCUGGGGAGAAGCAGGGCAGGGACCCCCCCAUCGCCUGGCCGUCUACUGCAAGCACUGUCCUCCCGAUAGCUGGAGGGACCCCAGGUGUCCCUGACUGGUGGGAGAGAGGACAGAAAUCCAGGGAGAGGGGAGGAGAGCGGGAGAGAAAGCUGUGAGAAGCUCAAAGACUUUGGCUUCACGGUGGCCUCACCUUUGUCUUUCAAUUCCUUCUGUCAUUUGGAGGCCUCUUGUCACUGGAGGAACAGGCAAUAGGUCCUGGAACUCAGCUCAGCAGCUGCCACAGCCCCUGGGCAGGGGUUCCAGAGCCCGAGGCCCAGCCCAGCACUUCUCUGCUGGGCCCACUGGCUGAUGAAGCCCAAGGUCCCUCCAACCUGCAGGCCCUUGUCUACCGGGCAGAAGAAGAAAUCCGUGGACCUGCCUGGGCAGCCCAGUCCCCUGGGAAACUUUUCUGGACAAUGUGCCCUUUGCCUUGGUCUCUUUCCUGACUCACCCUUGGGUUCUGACGGUAUCUUUUGAUUCACUAGUUGUGUCACUUUUUGUGAGUCAUCUGACAGGUUUGGCUAAGGGUGAGGGAGACCCUCCCAAAUAUGGACCUUGAGACAAGGUUCUGGAGGAUAUGUGUAAUGUAAUAGGUGUAGGGAAGGAAGGCAACCAAUAAGAGUGUGUCCUUCAAUGUCAGGGACCAAUUAGGAAAUAGGGAGACCAUGGUGGAUGGUGUAAAGCACAGGCCCCAGAGUGGUAUCAGCCGAGGGGCGAGGGAGCUGGGGUAGUUAUACAACCCCAUUCCCUGGUGCUUCUAACGUGGCAAAGUAGCCUUGGGGAUCAAGUCCUCAGGCCUGGAUGCAGACACUGGUGGCAGCUACAAGGACACAGGAAUACACUAACUGGUUCAGCCCAAAGGAAAGGGGUGUGGGCCUAGAAGGAUUCCACCUCUCAUGACAGCAGCCGUCUUCGGUCAUAACCACCAUGUUUGCCCAGAGGAGCCUUAGCUGGUUCCUGCAGCCUGGUUUCCCAGAAAACCAUAAGUGGACAAAACAUUAGAGGGUAUGCAGGGCUCUACAACCAACCCUGGCUCAGGGAAGCGCCCGAUUCCUUGAUGUUAGCUUGGAGUAAACCAGGUAUGUUCUAGCCAGGGUGAAAUCUAUUCUAUUCUAACCUCUUUCUGACCCAAAUUGCAGGAAUUCAACUGAGUCCCCAGUAAAUGGCACUCUGCGACCCUGGAUCUUGAAUCUUCAUUCUCAUGGCACCUUGGACCCUGGUCGUCACCUCCUGGGACCAAGUUUUUCUGGAACAGAGGAGCACAAUGACAGUCUUCGUACACUUUUUUUUUUAAUCAUGAAAGUAAUAAAUGCAUACAAUAAAAGUUGAGGCACCUAAAAAUGUAUAAUGACAAGUAUGUAUGUCCCCCGCCUUCAUCCCAGCCCCCAGUCCUGACCUGCCAUAGGCAGCCAUCUUGA
rnacentral:lncRNA from 1 species